GAAGAAGCAGAUGACCAAUUGGCGAAAUAGAUUAUUUAUUGUUUUUAACUUAAUUCAAUAGAAAAGUACACCUCCCUUAAAGCCGGAGAAUGUCGGAAGAGGCGGCUAGCACCUCGGCCUUUGGCUUUAAAAAGCGGAAUAUCAAAAAGGGAGCCGGCAUUCGCCGCAAAAAGGAAAGCAGCAGCAACGAGUCAGCAAAAAGCAGUGAUGAGGAGGCCCAAGGCAAGACCAGUGCUUUAGUGCGGGCAGAAAACCGCAGAAAGCGCACGAAUCCUAACUUCCAAAGCACCAAAACUCUGAGCAAGGCAAAGCGUCAGGCCGGAGCACCUGAAGAAGAAGCCACAUCCUCCGACGAUGAUAAACUGGGCAUCGCCUACAAGUCCAAGCGCGAGGCUCUACCCAGUGGACCACAGGAUCAGGGAGCCACGUCUAUCAACGAAAUGGACACGGAACUGGAUCGCGAUGCUCAGGCAAUCCACGCGCGAGCCCUGAAAAUCAACGAGGAACUGGAGGGCAAGGCGGACGAUAAGAUCUACAGAGGAAUCAACAACUAUGCGCAGUACUACAAAAAGCAGGACACGGCGGCGGGCAAUGCCAGCUCUGGAAUGGUGCGAAGUGGGCCCAUCAGGGCACCCGCUCAUCUCAGAGCCACUGUGAGGUGGGAUUACCAGCCGGAUAUCUGCAAGGAUUACAAGGAGACGGGAUACUGCGGCUUUGGCGACAGCUGUAAGUUUCUGCACGAUCGCAGUGACUAUAAGGCAGGUUGGCAAAUGGAAAUGGAUCACGAGAGUCAACGGAGGGGAGAUGCCGAUUCCGAUGGCGAUGAUGGCAAGUACGAGAUCCACUCAGACGAGGAGUCGCUGCCUUUCAAGUGCCAUAUCUGCCGCCAGAGUUUCGUCAAUCCCGUGGUGACGAAGUGCAAGCACUAUUUCUGCGAAAAGUGCGCCCUGGCCCAGUACAAAAAGUCACAACGUUGCAUCAUCUGUUCCCAGCAAACAAAUGGCAUUUUCAAUCCCGCCAAGGAGCUUAUAGCCAGGCUCAAAACGAAUCCAAUGGAAAACUCUGAUAGCGAUGAGGAGGAACUCGGAGCAAACGAGGAAAAUGCCGGGGCGGAAGAGGCUCAAGCGAUUUCCUCCGACGAUAGCGAUUAAACUUAAUUGAAAUCAAGCGGGUGAACAAUUCUAAGCUAAAAUGCGUCGAACAGUUCGUCAUGGGGCGAUAAAGUGGUUACGUAAAGGAGUUUCGAGAGUUCAUGUGUACUCUCUCGGCGAAGUCAUAAAUCCCAAUUUAAAAUCAGUGCCAAGUGAAUGGUUUUAACUUUUCAUUCAAUAAACACGGAGCAGAGACAUACGCCCCAACUCCGUCGUACUAUGUGUAUGUCCUGCGAGUGCGAAUGCUGCACGUAGAAUGCAUUAAAGAUAAAAGCCGCCGCAGCUCGGGCAACUUCAAACUGGAAAAUAUGAUACAAAAGGCAACAGUGGAUGGCAAAGAUGGGAUGGGCAAUAGAAUAUGGGUAUUGGUGGGUAUACUAUGCAGUGUGGCCAUAAUUUCCAACAGUGGUUUUUAUGCUGAAUGUGCAUUUUACGACUUUUUAAGUGUCAGGGCAAACAAAACUUUCCGUGGGACUGCCGUCGCAGGACCUCCAGGACUUCCAGGACCAGAACCCUGCAACCCAUGCAACUGGCAGCUGGUGCUAUGUGCUUUGUGCUGCCGGCGGGACACCUUGUGUGUAUACAAAAGACGCCAGACAUAUUUUCUUUCAGCACGAGCAUAAACUUUGCUUUUCAAAUAUAUAUUUUCAAACUUUCAAACCAAGCAAAGCCAGAAAGGGGCGCAUUAAGUCCAAGUUUACGAAAAACUUAAUUCUAUUUUUUAAGCAACAACAAGCACACACAAACACACAGACACACACAUACACACCUCACACCUACGCAGGAAUCCUUGGAAAGGCAAGGCAGUUGCAGUUGCAGUUCCGUUUCCGCCCCGUUGUGUUGCAUGCACUAAGUUAUCGUCUUUAUUGUUUGUCACAUACAUGACCUCACAAUUGUGUUCCUGUUUCUUGGCUGCUCUGCCUCAGCCACUAUUCCCGUUCCCGUUCCCAUUCCCAUUGCCAUUGCCAUUCCUGCCUUUUGCGCUGAAUGGCGAUGCGAGCGGAAACGGAAAUGGCAUAAGUUGUUGUCGCCUACUAGUUCACACGUAAGUCCGUUCAUUCAACAAUAAAACGACGCUGCUGCAGCGCUACAGACGCUACAAAAGGGGGAUUGCUCGCGGACCUGGCCAACAAUGAAAACCCAUAAAAGAAAAUCAAGGCGAUGGCUUGGCCGGGAAUUCAGAGAUGGCAAUGUGAUAUACUGAGUGCCGGCGUGCGAAUGGAGAAGCCUUUCACGAGUCUUUGUAGUCACAGCAGUUCUUUUUGCUUUCGCGUUUGUGGAUGACGAUUUUUUGAAGGCGUCCAUAUAAUUCUUGCUUUUGUCAUUGGUUUCAUACCAUUAUUUUCUUCACAAUUUUUUAUGUUAUUACUGUUUACAAAAUAUAUUCCCUGGGCUACAUAAGCUUAUGAUAAAAAAAACCAUAACAUGUGUAAUAAUAAACAAUAAAACUUAAGU